CAACAUGGUGAGGGCAAUUCCUAAUUAAUUAUUUUAACCUCUCCCAGGUCUCAUGAAACAUCUCCCCAUCUAACUAGGAAAAAUUAGUUAUUGCUUUUCUUAUUUG